UACGUAGGGGGCAAGCGUUGUCCGGAUUUACUGGGCGUAAAGAGCGUGUAGGCGGCCAAGCAGGUCCGUUGUGAAAAUUGGAGGCUUAACCUUCAGACGUCGACGGAAACCGCGCGGCUAGAGUCCGGCAGGGGAGACUGGAAUUCCUGGUGUAGCGGUGAAAUGCGCAGAUAUCAGGAGGAACACCGGUGGCGAAGGCGGGUCUCUGGGCCGGAACUGACGCUGAGGAGCGAAAGCGUGGGGAGCGAACAGG
rnacentral:rRNA from 1 species